rnacentral:rRNA from 1 species
AACGAGAAAGUCCGCAAGGAUGAGUACAGUGGCGUACGGGUGAGUAACACGUGGAUGAUCUACCUUCUGGUGGGGAAUAACCCUGGGAAACCGGGGCUAAUACCGCAUAAGUCCGAGAGGAGAAAGCAGCAAUGCGCCGGAAGAGGAGUCCGCGGCCGAUUAGCUAGUUGGCAGGGUAAAAGCCUACCAAGGCAAAGAUCGGUGGCCGGCCUGAGAGGGCACACGGCCACACUGGCACUGAAACACGGGCCAGACUCCUACGGGAGGCAGUAGUGGGGAAUCUUGCACAAUGGGGGAAACCCUGAUGCAGCGACGCCGCGUGAGCGAUGAAGCCCUUCGGGGUGUAAAGCUCUUUACGGCAGGGAAGAUGAU